GCGGUGUAGCUCAACGAUAGAGCCGCAGCCUUCCAAGCUGAUGACGAGGGUUCGACUCCCUUCACCCGCUCCA
rnacentral:tRNA from 1 species